GUUACCCUAGUUUAACUUAGAACAUUUGAUUUGCAUCUAAAAAGUGGAGCCUCUCCGAGUGACA
rnacentral:tRNA from 1 species